rnacentral:rRNA from 1 species
GCGAGCGCCUGCAGCGCCUGCGCGCGGCCGAUCUCGCCGCCGUUCGCCGUCACCGCGCUGUUGAGCGCCAUGUUCUGCGGCUUGAACGGCGCGACGCGCGCGCCCGUGCGGCGCGCGAGCCGGCACAGGCCCGCGACGAGCGUGCUCUUGCCCGCGUCGGACGUCGUGCCCUGGAUCAUCAGCGUGCCGCGCGGACGGGCGGCGUUGGCGUUGGCGUUGGCGUUGGCGUUGGCGUUGGCGUUGGCGUUGGCAAUCAUCGUGAACGAAUGGCGCGACGCGCGGCGCGCGGCAAAUGGCGAAGGCCGCAUUAUCGCGCGGCCCGUUACAAUCACGCGAUGAUUCCGCGCGACCUCACCUUCGUUCUCGGCGGCGCGCGCUCGGGCAAGAGCGCGCACGCCGAACGGCUCGCCGCCGCAGGCGGACGGCCCGUCACCUAUAUCGCCACCGCCCGCGUCGCGGACGACGAAUUCGCCGAGCGCAUCGCGCAUCAUCGCGCGCGCCGGCCGGCCGGCUGGGCGCUCGUCGAGGCGCCCGUCGAGCUCGCGCCCGCGCUCGCCCGGCUCGACGACGCGAACGCGUGCGUGCUCGUCGAUUGCCUCACGCUGUGGCUCACGAACCUGCUCUGCCCGGCCGACGGCCCGGGCGUCGACGACGCGCGCUGCGACGCUUACGUCGCCGAACUCGAAGCGGCGCUGCGCGCGAGCCGCGCGCGGGUGAUCGUCGUCAGCAACGAGAUCGGCUUCGGCGUCGUGCCGCUCGGCAGGCAGACGCGCCGCUUCGUCGAUACGCUCGGCCGCGUCAAUCAGCGCAUCGCGGCGCUCGCGACACGCGUGACGCUGUGCGUGGCCGGCCUGCCCGUCAUGGUCAAGGACGAGGGCGAACCGCGAUGCUGAUGCUGUCGCUGCCCGCCGUCGCCUGCCUCGCGGUCGCCGGCUGCGUCGUCGACAAGCUCGUCGGCGAGCCGCGCGCCGCGCAUCCGCUCGUCGCGUUCGGCCGGCUCGCCGCGCGCCUCGAACGCGCGCUCAACACCGGACGGCGCGGCCGGCUCGCGGGCCUCGCCGCGUGGCUCGCCGCCGUCGCGCCGCCCGUCGCGCUCGCCGCGUGGCUCGCCGCCGCGCUGCACGUCGCGCUGCACGUCGCGCUGCUGUGGUUCGCGCUCGGCGCGCGCAGCCUCGCCGAGCACGUCGCGCCGAUCGCCGCGGCGCUGCUGCGCCGCGAUCUCGCGGCCGCGCGCGCGCUGACCGCGCGCAUCGUGUCGCGCGACACGAGCGCCGCCAACGAGGCCGCGCUGUCGCGCGCGGCGGUCGAAUCGGCGCUCGAGAACGGCAACGACGCGAUCUUCGGUGCG